AUGCACCCUUAUCCCUCUGCUGUGGUAGGUAAAACCCUCCAGGAUGGCAUCAGGUCCUGGGAUACGGUCAAGCAUGUAGAAGAAGGUGGAACUGUCACUCUCACAUGCAACUACAGUGGCUCUGUCCGGACAUUGCAGUGGUAUCGCCAGUUUCUGCAUGCUGAGCCACAAUUCCUCCAGUACAUUACCACAUCGGGAAUGAAAUAUCCUGAACAUGUUGAAAACCUGUCUUCAAAGGUUUCUACCAAAAACUCAAGUGUGAUGCUGGAGAUUUCCUCUGUGAAAAUGACAAGCGCAGCAGUAUACUACUGUGCAUUGGAGCCCACACUGACAGGAAAUCACAAAACUCUGAACAAAAACCUCAUGGGUUCAUGA